rnacentral:lncRNA from 1 species
AUGACAUAAAAAAUGAUGAAUCACAAUACAAACAAUAUAACCUAGAAUUAAAUAAAUAUGUCCUAUUAAUAUUAUAUAAAAAUAAAUUUUAAUAAAUAUGAUAAUAAAAUUAUAAAUAUAUAUUUGGAAUAAAAAAAUAAUAAUUUAAAAUUUUUCUUAAUAUUUUUUUACUUAAAAAAUAGUAUUAUUAGAUUUAAAAACUAAAAUUAAUUAAAAUU